GCCGCUACCACCCCCGCCCCUUCCCCUUCCAUAGCUCGCGCUCUUCCUCUCUUCCCCGCCCCCUCGCUCCGCCGGCCGCCGGCCCGUCGACUCCUUCGCCUCCGGGGAGCGCUGCCGAGGCGGCCGUGUUGCUUUGGGUCGCGCGCUGCAGCGCCCCCUUCCCUAACCCUAGCUCCAUCACAUGCCCGACCCGCCGCAGCUUGCGCCGCCUCCUACAUCGAGCCCCGCUGUCCGCAUCCCCGCGGCGUCGCCAUCUUCAUCCGCGUGCACUUGGCGAUGGCGCCACCCACUGCCGGCCCUUGGACCGUGCUGCUCGAGCGCGGCGCCGGCUCUCGAUCCAUCCGGAGACGGAGAUGGAGAUGUCGCAGCGGAGCAGAAGCAGACGCUCGAUGCGGCGCUCCCCCGUCCCUCUUCCUCCUGCAUCAACUGCAUGCGCUCGAUUCGGUGCUCUCCCGUCGCUCCUCCUCCUCCAUCGUCGGGAGGGGCGUGGCCUUCUACUUGCGCCGCUGCUCCAGGUUCUCUCUCUCUCUCUCUCUCUCUCUCUCUGACUAUUGCGAUGGAACUGCAGGAGACGAACGAGUUGGGCUCGGACGUUGCCGGCCGCCUGUUUGGUCUGCAAGAGGAUGCUCCCCUCUUCCUCUGUAAUUAACAGGCAAGGUACCAUCUUUCUCUCUCAGAUAUGAUGCAUCCAUCAUUUGGGUAAUGAUUUCUUCCAUGAGCUUAAUGCUUCUAUGCCCUAAUCAGAUAUUAGAUUACGUAUGGCCCUCAGUUGCCCCUAAAACCUCAACUACUGAUGUUGCUGAGGUUACAGCCAUAACCGUCUUGCUUUGGACAGAACUUAUAAUUUCUUUUGCAUAAGUGUGCCAAGUGCUGAACUGAUUCAUGUGGCUGGUUGUUAUUGGGCAUUUGUGUGGUUUAAAUAUUUCAGUAUCAGUGCAAGAUCAUCUGUCUAUUUGAGUAUUUAUCUUGGUACAUGAACAUAUUCAUAUCAAUAUAGCACAUGAAUACUUGACAUGGCUAUCUAUUUUAGUCUUGCAUUGAUAUUUUGAGAAUGGAAGUGGCCUGAAAGCCACUUGACUGAAUUGCCAUCUCUUACAAAGUGGCAAUGCCAUGAUAAUUAGAUGCCUGCAGGGGAUCUUCUUUUCAUUGAAACAUUUACCUAUGAUAUUGAGCAUAGUUCAUUUUUCUUGAAUUUCGCUGCCAUGUAUGUGUUACUUGGAAAUUUAGCCAUCGAGCAUGUGCUUGGGCAUGGUUUAACAUUGCAGAAUAAUUGUUUGAUGUAGUUGGGGUUCUCUUUUUUGUGCGAAGUGCAGACUGAGAUGGUUUCUUGUGCAAAGUGCUGCUACCGGUAAUUUCUACUUCUUGUUCUUUUCAGUCAGUAGUUACUUAUUUAGUGACAUUAUCAAAAUCAACUUCAGUUUUGUUAUUUGAUUGCCUCCAGUUUUUUUCUUGCAUGUAGGUCAACAAUCCAAUUUUGGUAUUUGAUUUCCUCCAUUAUAUUCUUAUAGGCCAGUAAUAUGAAUUUUUUAUUUGAUUGAUUUGUGGUGGCUGGCAAUUAUUUAGGCUUCAGCUCAGUAAGAAUCUCCCCCCCCCUAAUCAAAUAUAUGCUAUUUUCCUCCAUUUUGUUCCCAUCUGAUAUCCAGUAGAUGUGAAUUUUAUUCCUUGUCCGUGAAAAGCUACAAUUUUUUUACUGGCACUACUUUACUAUCCUCCAAGGUGUGCUUCCAUUUAAAUUCUGCAGGUCCUUUCAAUCAUUCAUGUUGCCUCUUGAUAUGUUUUACCAGAAGGUGAAUGCAUCAAUAAGCUUUCUGUGUUUUUUUUAUUUAUUUCUUGAGUUCGUGCAUUCCUUAGGUUACGCCAUGUUAAUAAAAGCCCAUUAUGUGAUCAGGUAUUCAUACUUGGACCAUAUGACAAUCCUGCCAUAGCCAGUGCAGCUUGAUGACUGUGUAGUUGCUAGGUGCAGAGGGUGUUGCUAAUAAAUGGCCAUUACUUGAUUAGGUGUUAAUGCUCUACUCAAAUUGCACUGAUAUUGAUCUUAAGAUGUCAAGCAUUUUUAUUAACUGGUCUUCCUCGACUAAAAUAUCAUGGUCUUUCUCUUCUGGUCACUCGCAACGGAUGUUAUGUUUCUUUUUUUGAAGUAUAUUUGGAUAUCUGAAGUUUUUUUCCUGAAUUAUGGCUAUCCUUUAUAGUAGUAAUGCUAAUUUGAGUCGAUAUAUCGGUGUUCCGUACCAUCCUAAAAAUGAGUCUCUGGUGACAGUCAUAGUUCUUCAUUUUCAUUGGAUUCCUAUAUUGUUUCUGAAUAUUUGAUGUUCUGAAUAUUAAGGAAUUACUUAAUUUCUAAAAUAUGUGCAUAUCCUGUUAUCAUCAUUGAGGGAAUCAAUUGGCAUAAUUUUAGUGUGUACGUAUAGUUGAUUCAUAUUCAAAAUGUCAUUCUAUGUAACCAUGGGGUUUAGUUUUGCAUCAUGCUUGCCUCUAUAGUUUUGCUUGCUUAAUGGUCCUACUCCAUUGAGUGUUGCUCUUUUACCAAGAGUUAAUUUUCCUUUGAAAGUAUAAAAUUUCAAGCUUCAGAUGUGGUUUAUUAUGUUCUGAUUGGUCCUACUUUCAUACGAUAGAAUGCUGAUAAUUAAUUUUUCAUGCUGAUAGAUGUUGCCCCACCAUUCCAAACGAAAUGUGUAACCAGGCCACCGCUAGGUAUGUUCUUUUUUUAGGUCGGGUAAAAAAGCACUCGACACGAGUCUACCGAGGGCGUCGCCGGCAUAGACACGGUAGACUCAAGGGCAUUGCCAGAAGUCUGCAGGAGGUGCAGCAGAGAGGUCCUAGCGACCACGGCGGCACAUCUGCGGCUGGUCCACCUCGGGCUGCUUCUCCACCACCAAGCGCUUGCCCCGCGUGUGCUUCUUUUCUCCCAGGAGUGGACCGUAGCCAUGGAGAGCGGCCAGAGGAGCAAGGACGGUCAGCCCCUGCCUCCUCUCCUGCACGGCUGCACGUGAUGGGGAUUACGAGCGACGUACAUGAUUUUGCAAGUACAGGUGAUAAAGAUUCAUGAUUUGGCUGCGCGCAUGCUUGCUGGCUGGAGGGAAUUUAAAUUAUGUCUGAUCUGUACCGGGACGACGCCGACAGUAAAAGGAACUAAGGAAGGGUUCUCGAGGUCUGCUCCUUCUCCACCGGUAGAGAGGAGCCUCCUUCUCAUGAUUCGCAUGUCUGCCCCGGCCCUCCCCGGCUAGAGCUGACGCCAUGGAAGGUCUGGCGGCUCCAUGGAUACAUGGAAGCCGCCAUCAUUUUGUCGGACAGCCGCCAUCAUUUUGUCAGACUAAGUGUGGAGUUACUUGUGCAAGUUCCACCAUCAACAAACACAAAGUUCUGCAUGCUAUCAUCGCAAGUAAAGCAGUCAGUCUGUUAGGGAGAAAACAAAGGCUUGUGUGCUCAUUAGUUUUUUUUGUUAUAUCAUGUGGUCUCCUUAUCUAUCUGUAACAUGUGACCUGUGCAACUGCAAAAAUGUUAGACAAUAAAAUUCUGUGUAACACAUGUUCUUAUACACUUUGCCUAUAGAGACUGUGCAUAGUUAUUCCCUUUCUUGUUGCUUGUGUAAUAUAUAUUGUAAACAAAUUGUCGUGACCUACUGAACCUUGCACUUUUGCUGUAACA